UACGGAGGGUGCAAGCGUUGCUCGGAAUUAUUGGGCGUAAAGGGUAGGUAGGUGGUCUCAUUUGUCUGGGGUGAAAGCCUUGAGCUUAACUCAAGAAGUGCCCCAGAAACGGUGAGACUGGAGUCCUGGAGAGGGUCGUGGAAUUCCCGGUGUAGCGGUGAAAUGCGUAGAGAUCGGGAGGAACACCCGUAGCGAAGGCGGCACUCUGGGCCGGUACUGACGCUGAGGAGCGAAAGCGUGGGGAGCAAACAGG
rnacentral:rRNA from 1 species